rnacentral:rRNA from 1 species
UACGUAGGGACCGAGCGUUGUCCGGAUUCAUUGGGCGUAAAGAGCUCGUAGGCGGCUGCUCAAGUCGAAUGUGAAACCUCGAGGCUUAACCUCGAGCCUGCAUUCGAUACUGGGCGGCUAGAGUCUGGUAGGGGGAUCUGGAAUUCUUGGUGUAGCGGUGGAAUGCGCAGAUAUCAGGAGGAACACCGGUGGCGAAGGCGGGAUCCUGGGCCAGUACUGACGCUGAGGUGCGAAAGCUAGGGGAGCGAACGGGG